AGCAGCGUGGCUCAAUGGAAAGAGCGCGGGCGUAGGAGUCCGAGGUCAUGGGUUUGAAUCCCGCCUCUGCCG
rnacentral:tRNA from 1 species